GCGAGAAAGACUGAAGAUAAAAAAAGGUCUCCGCUACCAGUGAGGGCUUGCUGACGAAUAUGGACAAAACAGCAGCUAUUAUCACAAAAUCACACUUGCGCAAGCAACCGCCACCCAACUCAACAACAGACACCACAUAUCCACACGCUCCAUUGUCUUUAUCAAGAUGACAAAUAGCAGGAUUGUAUAUUUUAUACAAAACUCUGUCUUCCAUCAAGUGCACCUACACAGGUCAUACACAUGAACACAAGACAGCAUGUCAUGUUCGUAUAAGCUUCCAGAAGAAGCUUGAAGAAGUGAUUUUGAUAUUGGUUAUUAUGGAAAAGUGGAACUAUGGGACACCCAUCGUGUCCAUAGUGCUGUGGAUAUUUCACACCGUUGACUGGGCAAUAAUCACUCUCACAUGCUGUGCACAUUUCAGAUAAAAAGAGCUGUGCAGGAAACAUUGCCAGUGAGAUUGCAAGUUUGUUUUCUUGUCUAGUAGGAUUUGCUUCAAGUGUGGUUUCGAGGAGCUGCAAAGAAGAGAAGAAGAAAAGAGAGAGAGACCCAAGAAAAGUGCACACCAGCAUUUAGAGCAUUUCAAGAGAAUCUGAAAAACAAAGUGGACCUCAAUAGGAGAGACAGGACAGGACGUUGUUCAGAUGGACAGAAAGGUCAUCUUCCCGGACACCGGCGUGCACAGAGGAAGUGGCUAUGAGGUGAUGAAACCUUUAUGUUUCUUUGUACUGCCUAUUUCAGAGAAGCGGGCUUACUCUCCACCUUGAUGACCAUUCACAGGACCCCGUGUCCCUCACAUUGGGUUACUUUAGAUUACUUUAAAGUCCGAAGACAGACACUGGAGAAGUUGAGAUGAAUCUGAACCAGGUGG